rnacentral:lncRNA from 1 species
GAAGAUCGAAGCUCAGAAGCAAUUACAGAAUGAGAUUUUAAGCAGGCAGCAAGUGGAUCAAAAUAUACAUCAAAUCAUAGCACUAGUUUUUGGGGAAGAAAAUGUGUCGAAAAUGAUUGAGUCCAUUCGACCAGCAGGCCAGCCUCGGGUAAUUUUUAAAAUCCUCCCCUGAGGUUUGGGCUUGUUGCAAGUAGAUGGCGAGAAUCCGUUUAUUUAUAAAACAAUCCCUACCGUCAGUUAGUUUUUACAUUGACCAUUAGUUGACUGUGCAAAGACAAUAUUGUCGCUAUUGACAGUUUGUAGACUAACAUAGCUAAAAAAAUGCUGAGAUUGUUGGCACGAAAAUCACAAAUCCUUUUUAUUCCCUAAGGAUAAACACUCGCAUGAAGCUACAACAAUCCCCUGGCACUCGAAAAAAAGAACCUGCACCACCAAGACCAUAUAUUUCAUUUUUGCAAAAUAAUCAUUUUUGGUUGCUUAAUUUUGGAAGUAUAAUAAUAAUAAUAAUAAUAAUAAUAAUAAUAAUAAUAAUAAUAAUAAUAAUAAUCACAAAAAAUUAAUCUUUGGUGGAGAAUUUUAAAUUGAAACCGACUCAGGAACCUACAAUUGAUCAAAAGGAACCUAAUAGUAAUAAAAAAGUAACCGAUCAAAAAUCAUUAAGGAUAAUAAAAAUAUUGAAUUUAAAUAACUAAAAAUGCCAUCGGAAAUUGAAAUUAAUUAUUUAACAUAUAGCAUGAAACAAAUCUUCACUAUUGGUGCUAGGCGACUGUCAUUCAGCUUGGAUCUAAGAGGUGGCGCGUUCGAGGUCAAAUAAGCUGCAGCAGAGGUGGCAGGGGGCAGAUUGCAGCGAGGUCGCGGUGGAGCAAAGGUUGUGUCGCGGUGGAGAAGAGGUUGCGUUGCGCUGACUUGGCUUCACGGUGAUGGGAUGGCUGGGCUGGGUAGCCGCUUGGCCGGCUGUGUGUGCGCUGUAUUGGAUUGUAUUUUCACUUUUUUGAUAAUUUCUUGUGUGUUAAUUUAGAUUAGAUUAGUGAGUUUGUGUGUGUUGUGUGUUUACAAUUGAUUUGAUUAGAUAUUUAAGUUAAAACAAUUUAUUGCAAACUUUUUUUUGUAAGUUUGGCUUUUAUUUGUGUCAUAAUAAAGUAACUGAAAUGACUAGUUACUGUUCUCAAAGCAACGAAAGUUGCAAAAAAUUUGUUUUAUUGCGAAAUGUCAACAAUGCCCACAACUACCCAAACGGCAACCAAACGGAGCAAAAAUAUAGGGGGUUUUUUUACAAAUAAAUAAAUUCUCACUAUCUACUUGCAACAAGCUCAAACCUCAGGGAAGGUUUUUAAAAAUUACCCGGCCAGCCUCUUGUAGACGACUGGGAUUGCUUGAAAAUGCUUGUAAGUUUUUAUAUUAUUAUUAUUAUUUUUAAUUAAUUCCAUUAUUAUCUCAAGCAUACACACGUAGGCACACACAUAAUCAUUUUUAGGUGCGGCUGCCCUCAAUUUUUUCAAUGCAGCUGUCCGCAUGGUUUAACUGUGUGUGUAUAUAUAAUUUAAUUGAUUAUUUUGAUUAAUUAAUUAAUUAUAUAUAUAGGUGAGAAUUUAUGGGGAAAUUUGUGGAUUAUUAUCAGUAUAUGGAAAGAAGUACACAAGAGCACUGGCCAACAUGUGCAAUGCUGGAAUCAAUGAGAAGCAGAUGACUUUGGCAUCCAAUCAAGCUUGUAUGAAAUAAAAUAAGUAAAAUGAUUAUUUGAAUAAGUUCUUGAAAUAAAAUACGUCUUUGAAUAUUUGAAGAAUAUACCUAAAGCUUUUAAUUUCUCUGUUUAAAAAUAUAUUUUCUUUCUUUUAAUUUCUUUCUUUGAGGAAAAAAAUGUGAUUUGAUUUUCUUUUUAUACGGUUCAAUUGAUAUUGUAGCUAGUUGUUAUCAGGCCUAAAAACUUCAGUAGUUGGAUGAAAAUAACCCAAAAAGAAAAAUAAAUGAUAACAAAAUAAGAAUAAAGAAUAAAUCCUUUAAUUUGAAUUUUUUUUUUUCCCGAUAAGAUCAUUCUUUUAACCAGAUCCAAAGAAAUGCUUUAUACUUUUUUUGCAUGACACUUGAGAAAAGAAAAAAACACAUUAGAAGAAAAAUAAAGAAUUAUGAUAUUUCAAGACAACAGCUAUAAGAUAACAAAACCCAAAGCAAAUAUGAAAAAAAAAACAAUAAAAAAAGGCAUUAACAUUCUUUAUCCAUCCUUCAAUUAUUGCCUCAAUAUUAACAAAUCAUUUAAAAUCCCAAAGAUCAUAUUAAUUGUGCUAUUGAGGCUUUGGGACAUUGUAAUCAAAGGGUGAGAAAGCUAUCCUUUUUUUUCCCUAUAAAAAGUUUUAUUUUCUUAAUCAUUAUCAUGCGUAAUUAAAAAAUUAUCAAAAUCACCACCUAAAGCAACUUAUAAAUAUGAAAAUAGUGCUAAACAUCUCAAAUUUUUUAUUUUAAAAAAUUAUAUCAGAUUAUGUGACAUUCACUAAUUAGUUGGAGAGAUAAUAUAAUUAAUUUAUCUAGAUUUAGUAAAAAAUUAUCAAUUAUUCAAUUAAUAAAAUUUAGAAUAAAGAAUUUGGAAUGUCUGUCGUACUCUAAAUAUAAUAGGCACCAAAAUAAUGAAAAAUUAAAGUUUAAGAGUUCAAAAUAUUUUAUUUAUAGUCUCAUGAAUAGAACAACAUAAUUGCAAACGGCACAUUUUCUCACUAACGUUUCUUUGUUGGCACACGUAAUUAUAAAAAAUUUAGAACAGUAGUACCGAAUGAGCUUGAAUUAAUUAAUUGUAUUGUGUGUAAUGCAUUGAGGUAUGCUCAACUAAGAUUUGGAAAUUGUUUAAAAAAAAUGAAAUCAUGGAUAUAUUUUCAGAUAAUCCAUAAGUAUUUGAAAAAAAAUAAAGUAUUUAACACCUUAUUAUAUCCUGAUAAAUAUCUCUUCUACUAAACUUGACAAACACUAAUAUAACAAACCCCAAUUAUUUUCUCCUGUAUUCUUUUGCGCUCUCAUAGGUGUCAUUUUAUUUUUUUGAGUCUUUUGUUGCUAAAUUUUUAGAUUCAUGAUCAGUUCAUUUUCAUGAUUUUUUUUUUUAGUCUAUGAUCUUCAUCUAUACAAAUUUAAAAUACUCCCUUUUGUUUUCUUCAUUUUUUCAGAUUAAUUAUUUUUAAUUUUGGGAAACUAAUGUUUUUAAGUUUUGUAAAGAAAGAAAGUUUGGAGAGAAGAAUAAAGAUAACAAUACUUCAAAAGAAAUUACCACUUAUAGAAUUGUUUGUGUGAAAGGUAAGGUAAGAAGACUAUUAAAAAAAAUUUAAGAGUGAGAAAAUUGAUAGAAAUCAAAGAAAAUUUGGAAAUCAAAGCACACUCAAAUUAAGGAUGAUAAUUUAGAAAGAAAUUGUCUUUUUAGUAUUAAAUGAAUCAUAAUUGAAAGGGGGUUUUAAAAGAAUAAUAGAAAGGUGUUAAAAGCCUCUCUCUUUUCAAUUUCGUGUACCUUUCUAUUGUUUGGUUGACCACAAAAUGGGGGAAUUUAAUUUCCUUUGAAAUUUAAAUUCCAUCUAAUUAAGGGAUCUGAAUUAUUCGCGAAGAGUGAAGCAGGGGCAGAGCUACUUAUGGGUUGGGCCUAUAGCUCGUCCAAAAUUUUGAUAAAUUUACAAAAAUAUCAUUGUGCAAAAUUUUAAAAAUUGUCAUUGCUUUACACUUUUAUUUACAAUUACCAUUCUAUUAAUUUACCAUUUUACCAUUCAAAUAAAUAAAUAAAUAAAAUUAGCAUUUACUUAAUUCUUUGAGAACGUGCUCUCUUUGUUUGUUGGCUUCUUUGUGCUGACAUGCUCUACUUCUUCGGUUAUUCGUCUUCUCUUGGUAAGUAUAUAUAACAAAUUUAUUUUUUAUUUGAUUAUUUACAAUAUAUUUAUAGAUUGUCAGGUAGUAAAAACUAAAAAUCAUUUUCUUUACUUAGUUCAUGUUCUAAUUUUAUUGUGUAAGAUUAAAUUAUUGUUAGGUCAAACCAUUGAAUUCUAGCAAUUAAAAUUUAAAAUUGAUUAUUGAUAAUAAUAAAUUAGAGAUAAUUAUUUCAGUGAAAAAGAAGAAGUGCUGCAAGAGCUUAUCAAGACACCACUUUGAAAUAAGAUGGAGAAUUUUCUACAUCAGAUUAUAUGGUUAUCUAUAUUGAAAGAAAAUUUCUAGACAUUGUGAAUUCAAAUUCAAUAAUAGAUGAAUUUAAUUCUCGAAAGUUUAGAAAGACAGAAGUAAAAUAUUACUUAAUUGUAAUUGAAUUGCUUCUUAAAUUUGAUGUAUUUUCUUAUGUAUUAAUGAAAUUUUCAUUAAAAUUUAUAUUUUUAAUUGCAAUAAUAGUUGGACUUGGAAAAAAUUUAGCACACCCAAAAAAAAUUUCCUUACUUCACCCCUGAAAUGAAGAAUCCAAAUUCCAAAUUCGCUAGAAAUCGAAACUUCCAAAUCUACCUCUUUUAUACUUUACUAUUAAUUAGUUCAUUGUUACUAAAUCAAUUAUUAUUUAUAAUUUUUUUGUCACGUAAUUCAAUGGCAAAGUUUGAUUCAACAAGAAAUUUUUUUAAAAAGAUUUUUUUAUUUAACUAAAAAAAACUCGUUAAUUACACUUAAAUGUAAUUUUUUAUUUAAAAAUAAAUAAUAAUUGAGUAGGGGUAAGAAUACAUUUUAUAACUAAUUGUAGAGAUAGAAAUAUCAUUUUGUAGCUAUUACAAGGGCAAAAAAAGUUAUUUUAUAAUUAAUUUUAGGAGCAAAAAUAUCAUUUUAUAAUUAUUUUUAUGUUUCCAUUAAAGUUAACAGAUUAUUACCCGCUCAAGUAUUUUUUAAAAAAUAUGUCACUUUUUAAAAAUUUAUCAAAACAUGUGUCACCCAAGGGUAAUUAUUUCUGAUUUUUUAAAUUCUUAGGUGUUUGCCAUUUGAUUUAAUCAUGUAACAUAUACAUUAAUACCUAUGGCGAGAAAACAUAUCUCAUCCUUCUAUCAACAAACAGUAACCUCUAAAUCUUCCAGCUUGUUUUUGGGGUUUGAGGCAUUUUCGUCUUUCACUAUUCAAAUGGACGGUUAAGCUGAUGGCAGGAGUGGUAUGUAAUAAUACAGCAAACUCACCAUCUAAAUAUAAAUACAUGAAACUUCAGGGGAAGCUAUCUAAACUUUACCCUACUAGAAAAUGGGCCCAAUCCCCGUUAGCAGCCCCCAUUGAAAGAGUGCGGCAAAGCAACCACCUGGGUAAAAGUACAUCUUAAAAAUAAACAUGAAAAAGAAUAGGAUAUCCCUAUCUUAUAUGUAUAUAAGAUAUAUUUUUUCACAUAAAUAGUAUAUGUGGAUGAAAGGUUCAGAAUGAAAGAACCAUUGACACCGAAUUUAUUAUAAAUAAAAUUAAUUAUUUGUUUAUGACCUGAUUGAAGGUUGAUAUAAAUCUUGUAUUUUAUGACUUUAUAACGAUUUUUAGAAUUUCAAAGUUCAAACCCAUAAAAAAUGAUAAGUAAAGUGAGACUGAGAAUUCAUUUGGCUUGGCAAUGGUGAUGGUAAAAUGAAUUUUUUCCUCGGUUUAUUGACUGUUCUUAAUGAGUCGUGAUCUAAUAAUCAAUUCUUUUGUCCUUUCUCAUAUAUUUCCACGGAUAAAACUGUGGUGCAACUGUGGUACCGUGCCACAGUUGCACCUAACCGUUAGAUUCUCACUUAUUCAAGUGGACCCCACUCAUUUGAAUGGAUCCAACGGCUGGUGGAACUGUGGCACGGUACCACCCGUUGCACUGUAGACUGACCCUAUUUCCACAUAUGAAUAAUCAUGGUUUGACUAAAGAUUUUUUUUUUUUUUCCUCUAUGGACCAUUCACAGACAGUCAUGGUUUAACGAAAAAAAUUUCUCUCUCGUUUUUCCUUUAUUGACUAUCCUUAAUCUGUCAUAAUCUAGCUAAUAAUUUUGUUAUCUGUCCACUAUUAUUGAUCAAUCGUGAAUUCCUCCAUUUUAUUGGUUCCUUAAAAUCUUGAAUUUUUUAUUAUUACGACUUAUCUCGUUAUAACAAAUGAAAGAACGAGGAAGAGGAAAUGGAGAUAUGAAUCAAGUAAAAUUAUAAAAAGAUUCUAUUUUAUCUAAUUAAACUAUGUUGGGUUAUUUUUAGUGACCUCCCCUGAGAUUUGGUUUAUUAACAGUCUAAUAGAAAGUAUUCAUGUAAUUACAAAGACCUCCCUUAACAUUAGUAUAAAAAUACGUAAGCGUCAGUAUAAAAGGGUAAACAAGUAAAAGUAAACUUGAAAUUUAAACAAAAUCAAAAUUCAAGCAAAAUAUGCUUCAAUGUCCGUGAAAUGGAGACUUAAACACACCAUUACCCAGUCUAAAGUCAUUAUCCAGUAGAUGAAAGGAAAUGAUUUUUUCACAAAGUGUACUUCUCGUAAACACAGCUUACACUUGAACAAAACCCACCAUCAUUUUCAUCCAUGGAGAAGAAGCGUCUGCAACUCACAAAUAAUUUCUGAAAUCAUUGAUUUAUUUUCAUCUACUGCACAAGAUGACGUCGUGCGGUGGUCCAUAGCUUUCAAGAAGCGAGUAUUGCCAGCAUCUAGCGUCUAUCGUGAUUGGAAUUAGAUCGCAAGAAGAGGCCAGUCUUCGAAAACACAGCUUGCAUGCUUGAAUCAGUGGCUCACAAGAUAUUGUUGUUAUUUUAUUGAUUAAAAAUAACAAUGGGUCUGUUUUAAUUAAUGAAAGUCUGUUUUAAUUAAUGAAAAUGGUGCUGGAUGUUGUUUCUCUCUGGGGUUGUUAGUGUUGAGUUGAAAAAAACUAUUGGGUAAUGACUGAUAAGAGCAAUUUCCUAAUGAUUUAAGAGUUGUGUAAGUACUAGAUGUAGUUCAUCAAAGAUAGGUUCAGUUUGCUUAUAAUGUGAUAAUAUUUUAGAGAGCCCACAGUGGUUUAUGUGAUUGUUCAGUUUGGGGUCAUGACACUAAUUGAGUUGUGUGUUAGUUUCGGUUUGUGCAUGCCUUUGGUGUUCUUUUGCCUUAUUGUUGUAAUACCUUCAAUAAUUUGGUGGUGGUAUUUUUUAUUUUUAUUUUUUUGAGUAGGUAAUUUUGUAUUUGCUAAAUAAUGUGAUUGUAAUCACAUGUAACUUAAGUAUAUUGUUCUACACACAAUUUUUGCUCCCAUGUGAGAUGUUCUCUGUGUUUUUGUCUAAGGCUUUUGUUUGUUAUUCAAACUAGAAAAUAGUGGAUGCAAGACUAUGAAUUUGGCAUGUGAUAAACUUUGAAAUUGCCCUUUUUCUAGAUUAAAAAAUAUUGACUUGCCAUUUUCCUUGUUUGAUUCUAAUUUUCAAACAAGUGUGCCGAAAUCUUAAGUUCGAUUACAUGUUGUUUAUUGUAUUUCUUAUUUCAAAGUCUGUAAUCUAUCUGCGUGCAUCAUUUCAGAAGAAGAAUAAGCAGCUGCAGCAAGUCCAUUAGUUUAGGUGUUCCGAGUACGACAGAGAUGAUGCUCUAAAUCCAGGUUUGAGGCACCAACAAAACUCAAAGAUAUCAAUUAUAGAGUGGGAUUUUCAGGACCUGAAAUCCAAUUUAAUAAUUACUUGAUCUGGGUUUAAAUAUGGAUGGAGCAAAGAUUGGUAUCAGAAGGGUUUUAUGGUCGGUGCCAACGCAUGUACUAUCAAGUUUACAAUAUGAAAAUCAUUUCUUUUAAUAGCUCUGCUCUUGUGGCAUGUAAUAGUUAUGAAGUAGUUUGUAAUAAAAAAAAUCACAAUAAUAAUAAGCAUGCAGGAUGCAGCUAUGCCACCACACAUUAUUUCAAUUAUUUUUAUUAUUAUGCAAUGUCAAUUUUUUUAUUAAGCAAUUUCAUCUUCUUAAGUAAUUUGUUAUUUUGGCGAAUUACCCAUUAGUUCAUAAAUGAAUAAAGAAAUAUUUUGACAGGAAGGGUAUUUUUGGAUUUUCAAUAGUCAACUAACAGUCCACUUUACAGAAUACAAAUGUCAGGGGAGGUCUUUGUAAUUACGUGAAUACUUUCUAUCAGACUGUUAAUAUACCAAACCUCAGGGGAGGUCCCUAAAAAUAACCCAAACUAUACUAGUAUAAAAAUAAAGCUUACUCUAUUUAUAUUAUUAAAUAAAAUCAUUUGUCAAACAAUAUUUGGCAUCAAAGAGUAACUUGGUCGAAAUAAAAUAUUUGGUUGACGUUCGUUUCUUCCACAUAAAAAAUAUUAUGUGCACCCAACUAACAUUUUUUCAUAAAGAUUCCUUUGAUGAUCAUCAUAUAUCAUCAUCUCAUUUGAAAUAAAUAUUUUUACAUAAAAUUUAGAAUAUUGAGUUACUUUAAAACAAUCUCUCGUUAUUAUUAUUAUUAUUAUUAUUAUUUUAAAUCUAUAUACAACAUUGCCAUAGUAAUGCAUUUUAAGAAAGUUUUAUGGAGUACACAAUCCCAAAUUUUAUCAAUUAAAUACCCUUUGAGACAAUUGUUGGCAGGUUCAAAAAUAAUUUUUAUUAGGAAGUUUAAAAUUAAUUUUGAUGUUUGAUAAUUUUUUUUAAAAGAGUAAAUUUUGAAUUACUCCUUUUGUAAAAUGACAAUUUUUAAAAUAUGGUUUAAAUUGUUGUAAACUUGAAUUUAUUCCUUUUUUAUUCAAAAGAUUAGGCAAAAAUGAGGGUGGGUCGAUAUUGGCAAAACCAAUUCCUACAACACAUUCUGAUUAUGUUAAGAAAGUUUCAUUUAACAUUUUGCCUAUUUUAUAUUUUACCGACAACAGUAAAUGCCUGAGUCCAUAUUAACCAUAUAAACAUGUUCAAUAAUCACGAUUAUCAAAGAAUUUAAAGAUUAAUAUAGAAUUUAUAAAACGAGAAUCAGGCCUCAAACCGGACAAAACAGGAAUAUUCGGUCCGGUUUGAAUCCGGUCCGGAUGCUGUAACAUAAAUCUCGGUUGCUAAUUUUAUGUUUACAUGUCAACUUAUGACCUGGCAGUCCGCCACAAUCCUAUUGGUCUGCUGACAUGUCAAUUUUACUCGAACAAAUAUCCAAAAAAAUUAAAAAUAAAAAUAAAAGGAAAGUGAGAAAAAAGGAAAAAUAAUAAAUCUCGCUCAUGAAGUCUAAUUUGCUUCUCACUUAAAAGUCCUGCAAAUAAUAAUAAUAAUAAUAAUAAUAAUAAUAAUAAGAAUCUUGACAGAAGAUUGUGAGAGAGAGAGAGAGAGAGCUGUUAAAGAUCGAACAAGUUUCGAGCAUUUUUGCGUUUUUACAGAACUCCAUUGCAUUGGUAAUCUUCUACUUUUUCUCUGUUCAUUAUUCUGUGUUAAUUUGUGAAUCUGCUUAUAGAUCGAACAAUUUUGUGAUAUUUUUAUAACUCAAUUGUGUGUAAAUGCAUUUGGAUUAGGGUUUCGACGUUUAGAUCUUGCGUUUCGUUAUGUUCUGUUUCGUUGCCGUUAAAAUGUUGCAAAUGAAGGCUCGUUACAGUUGUUAAUUUCUCGAUGUCUCUUGUCUUAUUCAUUUGGUGCAAUUAAAAUGAUUUGAUUUAUUGGCAUUUGGUUUUCGUUUGAAUUUUUUUUUUUUUCAGGAUAAGUGAUGGUGAUAAUAUUUGCAAAUCCUUGAAUUCUUUUUAGAGUUUUAUUUGAAGUUGAAGGGGGGGAGUUGGCCCUGAAACGGCAGGGAUAGUGAAUUUAUCAAACACAAUGAUGAUGGAUGAUGAUAUGGAGAAUGGUGGUUUGGGGCCUUACCAAGAUCGGCCGAGGACGUUCCCCAACAUGCGUAGUAAAUCUAUUUUCAUAAAUUUAGUGAUGGGUUCCCCUUCAUUUUAUUUAUGGUGCUCAUAAUUAUAUGUCAUUUUGCCUUUUCAAUCCUUUGUUGGUUGCCCUUUUAGUAUAUUACAUGCAAUUUCAAUGGCUAUGGUUUUCUUAAAUUAUUUAUGUUGUUGUUGUUGUGUAGCUUCAGAUGGUCUAAUUGAAAUUACGAAUGUGGAUUAGUGUCAAAAUGGGAAGUGUUUGUAAAGUAGUAUAAUAGCAAUAAUAUAGCAAAAGCAAUGGGGACUGUGAUUAGUAAAGCUGCUAGUGGUAUAGGCAGUGUUCUUGGCACUGCUUUCGUGGCUCCAUUUAAGAGCAUCUUCAAUGGAUCUUGUGAGUAAGUAAUUCUAAUUCGUCAUCUCUCAUAACGCUUCUCUUUAUUCGUAUAAAUCUUUACAACAUUAAUUAUGUAUGUAAUUGCUUUAGUUGCUUAAUUAUACCAUAAUAAUGAAAGGGAGUAUCUUGCAAGUUACAAUCUAUUUGAUUAUUGCCAAUGUAAUGAUCUAUAUGUGUUCAUUUGAAAGAGGUCGUAUCAAUUGCUUUAUGCAUACAUGCGCGCGCAUUUAUUGAAUGGUGGUUUGAUUCCAUUUGCUUGGCUAUGCAGGGAUGUUUGUCCAGGACCAUGGGACAUAAUUUGUUUCAUCGAGCACUUAUGUGUCACCAAUCUGGUGAAACUGCUAAUGAUUUUGGGGCUGUGCUACAUAAGUAAUCUCAGCUCUCAUACUUAACAAUUCACCUUCCCAUUUAAGUUUAAUUUCUUUUCGAAUUCUUCUAUUUUCAUUUUGACAGUUGAUUGAAUGAACAAAUUGAUGAAAUAAACAAAAAUAAGACAAAUUAAUAAUUCAGAAAAUAUUUGGGUUUCAUAAAGAAUGUAACAGAACUCUCUCCCGAAUUUGUAUAUUUUGGAAUGGCAAUCGUUGAGCACAAAUCAUGAUAAUGCUGUUUGUUUCAAUCUUUGCUUAUAAAUGAUCUUAAGCUAAAUAUGGUAAAUUUUUGUUUCUUUUUGUUAUAUUUACUAGUUAUAUUUAAGUACAGCCAGAAUAGAAUUAACUGCUAGGUUUUUGUCAUUUAUUAUAUCAUUUUUCAUAUUUUCAGUUUUGUUGUUCUGCUACCUAUUGUUCAAAGUGGGAAUCUGCCAAUGCAUUGUAAGAAGCCUUUGUAAGAUGUGCUGGGCUGCUUGUGAAACAUACUGGUAUAUGGUUUAAUUGGAGUGCAUGAGUGCCAAAAUUUAACACUUAUCGGCGCGUUGAAGUUAUUCUAAAAUUUGUAAAGCCCGUUUAAAUAUAAGUUCUUGAAGAGCCGGCCUAUGUGAAAAUUAAAUUAAGUCUUUACAACGCACAUUAUCAUUCAUACGCAAAUAAUAGAUAUUUACCGAACCACAAAGGGGGGUAUAUGUCAACUAUCUAAAAGAAUUAAAUCAGUACGUAUUUUUCCAAACAUCAGGGUGAUAUAUGUCAUUACCUCUAAGGACUGUUUUCAGUUACUCACAAGCACUUCUUGACAAAAGCAUUGCCUCCAAGGAAGCAUAGAUUUUGCUUCGUCUAGGCUAAUAUUUCAUGCAACGCUAGAAAUUUGAAUUACUUAGUUGCUUUAUGCGAAAUGCAUUUUGGCUCCUCUUCAAAAAUUAAUUACACCAGCACAUGGAAAAUGCAUAAUUAAGGCUAGUUGAAAUAAUUUUCUCCUAUUUAUUUAUUUUGAAGGCCAAAAUAUUUUCAAGACUAGAGGAAACCAUUACACAAUAUACGAAACAAUUGAAUGGAAAACCAUUACACAUUAUUACUUUGUAUAACGGAUAUAGCUGAUAUUGAUCUUGGAUUACAGAUCCAUAUGGACAUAUGUAGCUUAUAUUGAUCCCAGAUUAGAGAUCAAUACGGAUAUAGCGUACAUUGGUCUUGGAUUAGAGAUCAGUAAUAAAGAAAAAAUCUGAAAAUAAUCAACGAUCAAACUCAGACACACGUAAUUACUAACUAAAUCUCAUACUACAAAUUUAGAUACGGACAAAAACAUUUAUUAGAUCUAAGGCAUAAAAUCAAACAAAUAAAAAAAGAUGGCUGAGAUUGAGAUUUAGAAUAAAAUUUCUUGUCAAUUUUGUGUUUCUUAGGAUAUAAAUAGAGGCCAAAAGUAUCGAGAAAAUAUCUUUUGGCUAUUUUUCUGAAAGUCGAGAGAAAUCCAUAAUCCAAAUCAAGAAAUUCUCUAAACACAAGCGUUAACAAAAACAUCAGAGCAUCUUUUGCAAGCACAUGCUCGAAUCCAAUUUGUGGAGACUCUCAUGGACAACAAAUCAACAUCGAAGCUUGUAGAGUAAACAAGUAUAAGUUACUAUUUACUAUUUCUUUAGUCGUUUUUGUCUAGCUAAUUGAAGGGGUUUUGAACCUUUGCAAGUCAUAAAUGAACUUUUAUAUUCAAACUAGGGUAGUUAAUUAAAUAAACAUAUUUAAAAACCACUCUGCAAUAACUUAAAUGGUAAAAGAUUAUCUAUACAAAACAAAAGAAAUAUGAAAUAUAAAAAUUCCAGCUAUUUGAAGACCAAGUUCUUUUCAUGUGAAAGAGGCAAUAUAUGGAGAAGCAUUUUGACCAAUUUAGAUAGAAAUGUGAAAUUAGUGCAUCCUUGCUUCACGAUUCUACCUUGCUAAUGUAGUGCUUUCGAGAUACCGCAUCAAUAACACAGAAACAAUAACUCUUAUUAAUUUUAGAAAUUUUUUUGAUAAUUUUAAUUAAACUUUUAUUUAUUUAUCUUGUUUUAAGUUAUAGUGCUUUAUCCUGAAGCAAUAACCAAUUAAUUGAAUUGCUUUCUGUCAAUGAAUACUAAAAGUUUCAAAAAAAAUUAAAAAAAAAAAGAAAGAAAGAAAGAAAGAGAUGCAAAUUGCUGUUGAUAAUUGAGUUUAAUUUGGGAAACAUAAAAUAAUUUAGCAUAACUUAUGUUGAAUGAAUGAAUUUAUUAAGUUGAUCAAAAAGAGAAAACAAAAAGAUUAUCCUAUGGAAGAAGAUAAAGCCAGUUUUGUAAUAUCUGGAAUGGUGGUGCACGAGGGUACAUUCUCUUACUAUUUAAUCACUUUACUAUUAUUAAUCAAUCUGAUUGAGAAAUGUUUAAUGUGCUAGGAAUUAAUGAAUGACUUAUGAGUUAUGACUAUCUCUUUUAAGUUUUUUCUUUUUUUUUUUAUUGAGUAUUUCGAUUUUCUGCUCACUCAUUUGAGAGGAGUUCAAAUUUAAAAUUUUAUAUUUCCACUGAAGAGAUUUUAUCAAUUCAACUAAUUAGUACUCAAUCUCUCUUUUAUUUUUAGCUUGCAACCACUAAUUGGCUUAUUUAGCAAGUUCUCUCAUAAUUGUUCAAAAUGUUCCAAUUGUUUCAAAUUUUGGACGGGUUUUAAAUAAAUGGACAGCAACAAUCGUGUUGACUGUGAUUUGACAAAAUGGUGAUAACUUAUUUUUUAAAAAAAAUUGCGAGGAAAAACCAUUUGAGACAAAAAUAAAAAACCUCAUAAUUUAUUUAUUUCUUUUUUUUUUCUAAUAGAAAUGUUCCCGCAAAUCCUGAAUUUUGACCCAAAAAAAUAUUAUAUAUCCCAAAAGAGUUUGUGCAAUCGUUUUACCAAAUUACACUCCCGGUCGUUUUUCCCUCAGUUCCGUAAAAGAUUGGAUUAUAUAAACAUAUAUGUAAACGAUUAUUAUUAUGAGACUACACAAUUAAAUAUAAAAAAUUUUAAUUAACAAUUUCUUAAUUUUCUCCAUGAUGAGGCCAAUGGUUUGAGUAUUCCAGUGGGUGUGGGAGCUUGGUAACUUUUAAUUAUUUUCUUUGAUUUUAGUUGAAAUUCAACUUUCAUACAUUCAAAUAGAUCUCAACGGACACUAAAUUAAGCUUCAAAAUUCCAAAAGACCUUUAGACCAAUAUUAUUUUUCUUACUCACUUAAUAAACGACAAAUAAGAUGGCAUAAAAAAGGUUAUUUAAUUAAGAGUUUUGUUAAUUUAUAAUUAAUGUAACUUACAAUCCUUGUAAUAAGACAGUAGAUUCCACUAUCAUAUCACAAAUUUUUAUAUAUUUUAUCAUAACUGUAAGUUGCAUAACUUAAUAAAAUCCCACAAUUAAAUAUCACAAUUUCUACCGUACAAUAUUAUGCCAUGGUUUUGUGCGGGGACUUUGAUCUUCUUUUUUUUUUUUUUUUUCACAAGACAAAAUUAGCAAAAACAAAGCCGACACACAAAACCAUGGCAUAAUAUUAGUGGCAGUAAGUGGUCUCAAAAUCAGGCGUUCUAGCCAGUUUCGUUUGGUGGGCAUAUAUGGCUACAAGACAAAGGCUUUUUGCCUGUCAGUUUCUUCAUCAUCAUCAUCGUCAUUAUUAUUAUUAUUAUUAUUUUCUCUAAAAUCCCAAUUGAAAUCUAACACAAAUAAGUAACCAAUUAAUUAAUUAAUGCUCUCUAAAACCCCCAAUUGAAAUCUCUCUAUAUAUAUGUACAUGAAUAUGCUUCCAAUUCUGCUCUGACACUCUCUCUCACUCACUAAUUUUGCUUCCACUAUUUAUCAAAAACAAUGAAUCAUUUCAUCCUCAUUGCUUCACUUCUUCUCCUUUUCUUGUUAAAUAAUUUUGUUGUUGAAGCUCGACAAAUUGCAAAAAGCACAACUACUGGAACCAGAUGGGUAGUUCUAGUUGCUGGAUCCAAUUAUUAUGAAAAUUAUCGGCACCAGGUUAAAUUUUAUUAAUUGAUUAGUUUUAAUUUUUAUUUAAUCUACAUACAAAUUAAUUUUGUCGAUUUUUCACCAUCAAAUUUGUUGGUUAUUUUUGCAGGCCGAUGUGUGUCACGCGUAUCAAAUUCUGAAAAAUGGAGGAUUAAAAGAUGAAAACAUAAUUGUUUUCAUGUAUGAUGAUAUUGCAUUUAACGUUCAAAAUCCAAGGCCUGGUAUCAUCAUCAACAAGCCGUACGGCCCUGAUGUUUAUAAUGGAGUCCCCAAGGUAUUUAUUUUAUUAUUAUUAUUUUUUUUGCUUGAUAAAUAAAUCAAACUUUUUUAAUUUGAUUAUAUGAUUCCUAUGGCUAUUUUACAGGAUUACACUGGUGAAAAUUGUACUGCCAAAAAUUUUCUGGCAGUGAUUCUCGGCAACAGAACUGCACUCACCGGGGGCAGUGGCAAGGUUGUAAAUAGUGGUCCGAAUGACUAUAUUUUUAUUUAUUAUGCAGACCAUGGAAGCGCUGGUAUGGUCGGUAAGUAUCAACAUUAUUAAUUAGUAAAAAUUAAUUGUUUUUUAACCUUUAAUUUCUUCUUAUAAUUUUUUUUUUUUACAUCAAUGUUAUAUUUUAUGAUGUUGCUGUAGCAAUGCCUACUGGAGAUGACCUCUACGCUAAAGAUUUGAUAGAGGUGUUAAAAAAGAAACACGAGGCUAAAUCUUAUAAAAGCAUGGUAAGUAAAUGAAAUCAAUUAACCAUUAUGCAAAUUUAAUUACUAGUUGAUACCUAAUCAAUUAAUUAACAAAUUUUUUUUUUGGUUGGUAAUUUUGGGGGGAAAUUAAUUAGGUAUUUUACCUUGAAGCUUGUGAAUCCGGAAGCAUGUUUGAUGGGCUUCUCACGGAAGACAUGAACAUAUAUGCAGUCACGGCUUCAACUCCUGCAGAGAGCAGCUACGCGAUGUAUUGUCCCGGGCAUUAUCCGAGUCCCGAGGAUGAUUUUGAAACUUGUUUGGGUGAUCUCUUCAGUAUUUCUUGGAUUGAAGAUAGGUCAAUUAAUUGAUUAUUUGAUUUUUCAUCGAUAAAUUGGAUGUUAAUUAAAAUUUAUAAUUUUUUUUUAAACUUUUCUGUGUAAUGGCGUGCAGUGAAAAACAUGAUUUACAGAAGGAAACACUACAGCAACAACACGGAGUGGUAAAAUCUAUUUUUUUGAUUAAUUAAAGUUACCACGUCUCUCUCUCUCUCUUUUUUUAAAAAAAAAAUAAAGUAAAAUUCUCUGGUUAAUUCCGUCGAGUUUUACAGGUUCGGAGGAGGACAUUGGUAGAUUAUUUAGACUUUAGCUCUCAUGUAAUGCAGUACGGAAACAAAGAGCUGAGCAAAGAGCCAAUUUUUACGUAUAUUGGCACGAAUCCUGAUAACGACAACUUCACGAUGAAGGCUGAAGAAUUUUCUUCUAACCCAUCAGCUGAAAUUGCUCAUUCGAGUCGUUUGACGAGGGGAGCUGUUAGUCAACGCGAUGCUCAACUUCAUUAUCUUUGGCACAGGGUAAUUCAAUUAAUCUUAUCCAAUUAUUGUUUAAUUAGAUCUUGUAAUUUGAGUUAUAAUAAUGUUUAUUCUUGCAGUUCAAUAGAUCGGCUGAUGGGUCUAGUGAGAAGAUCGAUGCUCAGAAGCAAUUACAGAAUGAGAUUUUAAGCAGGCAGCAAGUGGAUCAAAAUAUACAUCAAAUCAUAGCACAAGUUUUUGGGGAAGAAAAUGUGUCGAAAAUGAUUGAGUCCAUUCGACCAGCAGGCCAGCCUCUUGUAGACGACUGGGAUUGCUUGAAAAUGCUUGUAAGUUUUUAUAUUAUUAUUAUUUUUCUAAAUUAAUUCCAUUAUUAUCUCAGUAGGCACACAUAUAAUCAUUUUUAAGUGCGGCUGUCUUU